GACUAAUAUCAUAUAAACAACUGAAGCAUGGCAUUUGUAGAUUAAUAUUACUUUUUUCCUAUUUUUUAAUACCAGGGGGCAAACAAGUUGCAUUAUCAUGCCUUCUCCUUGGCAUUUUUCCGAAGAAGUGAUCAAUUGGUCUUUUUUAAACUGUUGUAUGAAGGUAUGAAAUUGAAAACAUUUGGGUAAAAUUCAUGUAAAAAUAACUAAAUCGUAUAGAAUUGAUAUCGCUAAUUGGUGUAUUUCCAAAACCUUUUAAUAAAAGCUAAUAUUAAUCACAACACCAUGGUGGUGAACGAAAUUAGAAAGUAAGUAUCAUAAUAAAUUGAGUCAUUUAAAGGCAUAGAAAGAUUUAAUUCAAUAACUACAGCACGUAAUGCUGUACUUGUAAACCAACAAUCGUUUACAAGCAAUUUUAUAUGAUCAAUUCGAGGAAGUAAAAAAAAAUGGGGUAAUAAAAUAAAAAAAAAGAUUUUUGAAAUUAAAUUCAGUUACAGUAGAAUAACUUUACAGAACAAUUGAAAGCUGGAG
rnacentral:lncRNA from 1 species